rnacentral:rRNA from 1 species
UACGUAGGGGGCAAGCGUUGUCCGGAAUCAUUGGGCGUAAAGAGCGUGUAGGCGGCUCGGUAAGUCCGCUCUGAAAGCCCGGGGGCUCAACCCCGGGAGGCGGGCGGAUACUGUCGGGCUAGAGUCCGGAAGAGGCGAGUGGAAUUCCUGGUGUAGCGGUGAAAUGCGCAGAUAUCAGGAGGAACACCAAUGGCGAAGGCAGCUCGCUGGGACGGUACUGACGCUGAGGCACGAAGGUCAGGGGAGCAAACGGG